rnacentral:misc_RNA from 1 species
GCUACGACCGAUUGAAUGGUUUAGUGAGGACUCCUGAUUGGCGCCGCCGCCCCGGCAACGGAGCAGCGGACUGCCGAAAAGUUGUUCAAACUUGAUCAUUUAGAGGAAGUAAAAGUCGUAACAAGGUUUCCGUAGGUGAACCUGCAGAAGGAUCAAGCUAGGAAGAGAAAAUGGUGGAAAUCUAGUCACGGGGCCGCAGCGAGGACGCCGUAGGGGGGGGGAACAAAACAACACCCACGUUUGCUCUCGUAGCCCGAUUAAAUCACGCUACUCUCCU